rnacentral:rRNA from 1 species
GCAUAUCAAUAAGCGGAGGAAAAGAAACCAACAGGGAUUGCCCUAGUAACGGCGAGUGAAGCGGCAACAGCUCAAAUUUGAAAUCUGGCUCUUUUAGAGUCCGAGUUGUAAUUUGCAGAGGGCGCUUUGGCUUUGGCAGCGGUCCAAGUUCCUUGGAACAGGACGUCACAGAGGGUGAGAAUCCCGUACGUGGUCGCUAGCUAUUGCCGUGUAAAGCCCCUUCGACGAGUCGAGUUGUUUGGGAAUGCAGCUCUAAAUGGGAGGUAAAUUUCUUCUAAAGCUAAAUAUUGGCCAGAGACCGAUAGCGCACAAGUAGAGUGAUCGAAAGAUGAAAAGCACUUUGGAAAGAGAGUCAAACAGCACGUGAAAUUGUUGAAAGGGAAGCGCUUGCAGCCAGACUUGCUUGCAGUUGCUCAUCCGGGCUUUUGCCCGGUGCACUCUUCUGCAGGCAGGCCAGCAUCAGUUUGGGCGGUGGGAUAAAGGUCUCUGACACGUUCCUCUCUUCGGGGAGGCCAUAUAGGGGAGACGUCAUACCACCAGCCUGGACUGAGGUCCGCGCAUCUGCUAGGAUGCUGGCGUAAUGGCUGUAAGCGGCCCGUCUUGAAACACGGACCAAGGAGUCUAACAUCUAUGCGAGUGUUUGGGUGUCAAGCCCGAACGCGUAAUGAAAGUGAACGGAGGUGGGAACCCGCAAGGGCGCACCAUCGACCGAUCCUGAAGUUUACGGAAGGAUUUGAGUAAGAGCAUGGCUGUUGGGACCCGAAAGAUGGUGAACUAUGCUUGAAUAGGGUGAAAGCCAGAGGAAACUCUGGUGGAGGCUCGCAGCGGUUCUGACGUGCAAAUCGAUCGUCAAAUUUGGGCAUAGGGGCGAAAGACUAAUCGAACUAUCUAGUAGCUGGUUCCUGCCGAAG